GCUGAGCAUGGUGGUGCAUGCCUGUGAUCCCAGUGACAUGGGAGGCUGAGGCAGGAGGAUCACAAGUUCAAGGCCAGCUUGGGCAUCUUAGUGAAAUCGUCUCAA
rnacentral:sRNA from 1 species